rnacentral:rRNA from 1 species
UAUACAUGCAGUCGAGCGGACAGAAGGGAGCUUGCUCCCGGAUGUUAGCGGCGGACGGGUGAGUAACACGUGGGUAACCUGCCUGUAAGACUGGGAUAACUCCGGGAAACCGGAGCUAAUACCGGAUAGUUCCUUGAACCGCAUGGUUCAAGGAUGAAAGACGGUUUCGGCUGUCACUUACAGAUGGACCCGCGGCGCAUUAGCUAGUUGGUGGGGUAAUGGCUCACCAAGGCGACGAUGCGUAGCCGACCUGAGAGGGUGAUCGGCCACACUGGGACUGAGACACGGCCCAGACUCCUACGGGAGGCAGCAGUAGGGAAUCUUCCGCAAUGGACGAAAGUCUGACGGAGCAACGCCGCGUGAGUGAUGAAGGUUUUCGGAUCGUAAAGCUCUGUUGUUAGGGAAGAACAAGUGCGAGAGUAACUGCUCGCACCUUGACGGUACCUAACCAGAAAGCCACGGCUAACUACGUGCCAGCAGCCGCGGUAAUACGUAGGUGGCAAGCGUUGUCCGGAAUUAUUGGGCGUAAAGGGCUCGCAGGCGGUUUCUUAAGUCUGAUGUGAAAGCCCCCGGCUCAACCGGGGAGGGUCAUUGGAAACUGGGAAACUUGAGUGCAGAAGAGGAGAGUGGAAUUCCACGUGUAGCGGUGAAAUGCGUAGAGAUGUGGAGGAACACCAGUGGCGAAGGCGACUCUCUGGUCUGUAACUGACGCUGAGGAGCGAAAGCGUGGGGAGCGAACAGGAUUAGAUACCCUGGUAGUCCACGCCCGUAACGAUGAGUGCUAAGUGUUAGGGGGUUUCCGCCCCCUUAGUGCUGCAGCUAACGCAUUAAGGCACCUCCGCCUGGGGGAGUACGGUCGCAGACUGAAAACUCAAAGAGUGACGGGGGCCCGCAC